AUUUAAUCACAACAUCUUAGCCUUCAUACUGGAUCAAAAGAUUGUUGCUGCAUCUUAUUCAGAGCUGAUACUGUCUCUUGGUUAUGUCGUACUACUCUUUAAAGGGACAAUAUGUAGUUUUGGUGAAGAAUAUAAAUGAGGUAAUAAUAAAAACUCAACAUUUUUUGUUGUUGUUGCCACAACUGAAUAAACAAGCUGUUCUCAGAGAAAACAAGUUCCCCAGAACACUGUUUGAAGACUAGAAAGGUUGCAGGGUCCGCCACAUAUAAACACAGAAAAACAGUAUGAAAAUGUGUUGUCCUUUGAGGUCAGUUUGUUUUAUUAUUAUUUUUUAAAUGUAUUUAUUUAGUGAUGAAAAUGAGGAGAGUUUAUUUUAGUUUGUUUAGGCAUGAAAAAAAAAUCUGAUCUUUCUAUUCUGAUUAAAAUGUCUUCCCAAAACUACACAGUGAACCUUUUAAGACUCUAAACAGCUAGCUUGUUAAUGUUUGUGAUGAUUUUCAACCAAAGAUAUUGUGUUCUGUUCCGUAUUUAAUUCCAUUCCUUAAAGCACAUCCUGCAUCUUACAUCUGUAACCUGUAUAAAAUGAGCCGCUGUUCACCUGCGAGAGCAAUGAUUGUUCAUUUCCCUUUAAAAUGUAUCAAAUAUAAUACGUUUCAAAUGACAAAAUGUCUGUGACUGGCUGUGUGCUGACAUAUAAAAUCACUUCCUGUCAUCGCAAUUGAGAAUGUCAAGUCAUCUCACUUGCGAUCUAUGGCUUUGACUUUCCAUGCCCAGCAUGCCUGAUUAUAUUCCGUAAAUCUUUUGUUUUCUUGAAGGUCACCGUAUCGACUGUACGCCUCAAGGCACGCUUGAUACAGCCAACCUCCCACCGGCUGAGUGAUACCGAUUGAUCGUUUAAUUGAUAUAUUCAUGCUGAUAGAAGCCCACAAGAGUCCUGAUUCCUACAAGACAAAGUUUUUGGAAAAAAAAUAUGCCGCAAAGCCCAGUGAUUGGAGUGCAUCCAGAAGGUCUCCAAUCCACAGAAGAGAGUCAGCUGGUCAGCUGAGGAAUGAGAAGCCAAAUUGGAAAUGAAAGGGCAGAGGGUGCCAUCUAGUGGCUGUAGACGUUAAUAAAUUCUCAUUACCAGGGCCUGCACUGUGCUGUUUGACAUUAAUGAAUAGUUCCAUUUGGUGCUGCUGCAUGAAGGAAAUGAUCAUUACCCUGUGUGUGUGUGCACUUGUUAGAGUGUGUGUGUGUUUGUACAAGGUGGCAAGGAUGAGGAGAAUUUGUUAGUGCGUGCGUGCCUGUGUGUGUGUGUGUGUGUGUGUGUGUGCAAAGUCAUCCUGCAGUCAUCUGCUCCUGCUUUUAAAGCUUUUAAAAUACGUCUUUGUAGGAAAUGAUUUCUGAAUGAUAAAGGGCCUUAAUG
rnacentral:lncRNA from 1 species